UUGAAAAUGGUAUCUUAAGGUUUUUGCUUGCUUAUUUUGACGCUUUUGGGAGCCAGUGUUCCAAACCCCAUAUAUCAGGAGGCAUUGGGUGGUGUAGAAGACUGAGUACUAACCGUAGUAAAUCAGUUAAUACAGCUGUACAAACUUGGUAUGAGCACAGGAGGUAAGUGUUCUGUUGGAAGGGGUUGCUGUCACAGUAGAAGUUUCACCCAUUAAAACUGGGAAUUAUGAAGCCUUUUUUUUUUAUCCCUUUGUUGCCAAACACCUUGCUGAAUCAACGUGGUGCCUCAGGUGAAGACCAAUGCUGGAGGAGUGUGGUGUGUUGCCCGGCAGGUUCACUGUAGCUGGCUUAGCACCGAGCACUGCAGGACACGAUGCCUUUGGUCGGGGCUGUGCCCCUCUGCCUGCACGGUGCCUCUGUGCUGAUGACCCUGCUUGGUUGAAGGAGAUGCAAAGGGGGAGAAGCAGAGGGUUCUGUCUGUCUGUCAGCUGCCUUCAGAAAGGUCCUGCUGGCUCCUUGCCUCUGCUCGGAUCGCGCCGGUCUGUGCCAGACUCGGAGGUCCUGAGGAGGAGAGAAGACACGAGUUCAGCAUGGUAGGAAACAGAUUGAAGCGCUCCUAACUUAAAAACUUUGCAAAUGCUGGCUGUGAACGCUGCUUAUUUCCUCAUCAAGCCUGUGCAGAAAUGAAGCAUGUCGUGGCAGAUGGCUCAGGUUCAAGUAGUGGGAGCUGUGUGUGUUCCUGGUUUUCGGAGCGCUGUAGCUUUGCUGUUCUUCAAGUGCAGUGUAGAGGAUGCAAGGCUUGCUGAAAUGAAGCUGUUUCUGUGGAGGAAUACCGCAGCUGAAGGAAUGACGUGGAAAACCCUUCCCAAAGACCAGAGGUGGAGAUGCUCACCUGGAUGGGAGGGGAGGAUGUUGGCAGUAGGAGCGGAGUGGAGCCAAGGAGGAGGGAUGCUGAAAUGCAGGCAAGGAAAAGCUCUGGACAGCACAUUGCUCCCUCCAUGGGGACAGAUUGUCUGGAGGCUGGAUGGAGCACAGGCUUGGCAGGAGGAAGCCUAUUGCUGGGACGUGCUGCCAGUACAGUGGCAGAAGAGUCUGCUGAGAACGUGUGAUCUGCAGCACGCCACGGACCCUCCGCUGCAGGGUGAGCCCCCAGCGUGGCACAGCACAGGCUCUGCAGAAUCCCAGGGGAUCAGCUUGGAGCUGCUUCUCACGGGGGUAGUGAGGCACUCUGGCAGCUGUCUGGAAGUGAGGAAUGCUGAG
rnacentral:lncRNA from 1 species